rnacentral:rRNA from 1 species
AAACAGGUGCUAAUACCGGAUAAGAAAGCGGAUCGCAUGAUCAGCUUUUAAAAGGCGGCGUAAGCUGUCGCUAUGGGAUGGCCCCGCGGUGCAUUAGCUAGUUGGUAAGGUAAAGGCUUACCAAGGCGAUGAUGCAUAGCCGAGUUGAGAGACUGAUCGGCCACAUUGGGACUGAGACACGGCCCAAACUCCUACGGGAGGCAGCAGC